rnacentral:rRNA from 1 species
AACGAACGCUGGCGGCAUGCCUAACACAUGCAAGUCGAACGAAGGCUUCGGCCCUAGUGGCGCACGGGUGCGUAACGCGUGGGAAUCUGCCCUUUGGUUCGGAAUAACAGCUGGAAACGGCUGCUAAUACCGGAUGAUGACGAAAGUCCAAAGAUUUAUCGCCAGAGGAUGAGCCCGCGUUGGAUUAGGUAGUUGGUGGGGUAAAGGCCUACCAAGCCGACGAUCCAUAGCUGGUCUGAGAGGAUGAUCAGCCACACUGGGACUGAGACACGGCCCAGACUCCUACGGGAGGCAGCAGUGGGGAAUAUUGGACAAUGGGCGCAAGCCUGAUCCAGCAAUGCCGCGUGAGUGAUGAAGGCCCUAGGGUUGUAAAGCUCUUUUACCCGGGAAGAUAAUGACUGUACCGGGAGAAUAAGCCCCGGCUAACUCCGUG